rnacentral:rRNA from 1 species
UACGUAGGGUGCAAGCGUUGUCCGGAAUUAUUGGGCGUAAAGAGCUCGUAGGCGGCUUGUUGCGUCGACUGUGAAAACCUGCGGCUCAACCGUGUGGUCUGCAGUCGAUACGGGCAGGCUAGAAUUCGGUAGGGGAGACUGGAAUUCCUGGUGUAGCGGUGAAAUGCGCAGAUAUCAGGAGGAACACCGGUGGCGAAGGCGGGUCUCUGGGCCGAUAUUGACGCUGAGGAGCGAAAGCGUGGGGAGCGAACAGG